GACGUAGGGUCCAAGCGUUGUCCGGAUUUACUGGGCGUAAAGAGCGCGUAGGCGGUCCGUUAAGUGUAGAGUGAAAUCUCUGGGCUCACCCCAGAAACUGCUCUGCAUACUGGCGGACUUGAGGGGAUGCAGAGGUUUGUGGAAUUCCUGGUGUAGCGGUGAAAUGCGUUGAUAUCAGGAGGAACACCCAUGGCGAAGGCAGCAAACUGGGCAUCAUCUGACGCUGAGGCGCGAAAGCGUGGGUAGCAAACAGG
rnacentral:rRNA from 1 species